AUUGAUUUUAUGCUUGCAUAAAUGAUUUUUGGAUUCGGAGCGAGUGGCGAACUGGUGAGUAACACGUGGGUAACCUGCCCCGAAGCGGGGGAUAACAUUUGGAAACAAGUGCUAAUACCGCAUAAUUAGUUGGAACCGCAUGGUUCCAACUUGAAAGAUGGCUCUGCUAUCACUUUGGGAUGGACCCGCGCCGUAUUAGUUAGUUGGUGAGAUAAAAGCCCACCAAGACGAUGAUACGUAGCCGACCUGAGAGAGUAAUCGGCCACAUUGGGACUGAGACACGGCCCAGACUCCUACGGGAGGCAGCAGUAGGGAAUCUUCCACAAUGGACGAAAGUCUGAUGGAGCAACGCCGCGUGAGUGAUGAAGGUUUUCGGAUCGUAAAACUCUGUUGUUAAAGAAGAACAAGUGUUAGAGUAACUGUUAACACUUUGGCGGUAUUUAACCAGAAAGCCACGGCUAACUACGUGCCAGCAGCCGCGGUAAUACGUAGGUGGCAAGCGUUGUCCGGAUUUAUUGGGCGUAAAGCGAGCGCAGGCGGUUUUGUAAGUCUGCUGUGAAAGCCCUCAGCUCAACUGAGGAAGUGCAGUGGAAACUACAAAACUUGAGUACAGAAGAGGAAAGUGGAACUCCAUGUGUAGCGGUGAAAUGCGUAGAUAUAUGGAAGAACACCAGUGGCGAAGGCGGCUUUCUGGUCUGUUACUGACGCUGAGGCUCGAAAGCAUGGGUAGCGAACAGGAUUAGAUACCCUGGUAGUCCAUGCCGUAAACGAUGAAUACUAGGUGUUGGAGGGUUUCCGCCCUUCAGUGCCGCAGCUAACGCAUUAAGUAUUCCGCCUGGGGAGUACGACCGCAAGGUUGAAACUCAAAGGAAUUGACGGGGGCCCGCACAAGUGGUGGAGCAUGUGGUUUAAUUCGAUGCUACGCGAAGAACCUUACCAGCUCUUGACAUCUUCUGCCAACCCAAGAGAUUGGGCGUUCCCUUCGGGGACAGAAUGACAGGUGGUGCAUGGUUGUCGUCAGCUCGUGUCGUGAGAUGUUGGGUUAAGUCCCGCAACGAGCGCAACCCUUAUUAUUAGUUGCCAGCAUUUAGUUGGGCACUCUAGUGAGACUGCCGGUGAUAAA
rnacentral:rRNA from 1 species